rfam:Picea glauca, whole genome shotgun sequence.
CUCGAGAGGGAAGAAUAUUGGAACACAUGCAAGUUGGAUUGAAGUGGUGUUUCCAAUGGUGGAUGAGUGAAUAAUGCAUAAGAACAUGCCCUUGGGAGGUGGGAAUGACUUACUAAAACCCCAUAGGUUGAGGAGAAAAAGGAGGAGUCCAACGAAGGAGGGUCUCACAUCUUAUUAGUGUUGGUGAUAUAAUGGCUUACCAAGGCAACGAUCAAUAGCUUGUUCGAAUGGGUGAUCAACUAUGAUGGGAUUGGGACACACUUAGACUCCUACAAGAUGUAGCAAUGGAGAAUUUUCCAUAAUGGGAAAAACUUGAUAAAGCAAUGCCAUGGGAAGCCAGAAGGGUCGCGAGUUGUGAAAUUCUUUUCUCAUAGAAGAAGUAAUGACAAUGUUCGAGGAAUAAGCAUUGUCUAACUCUAUCCUAGCAGUGGCAGUAAGAGAGGAUACACGAG